AGUAUUAUAUUAAUAAUUUUUUUUUUCUUACUUCUUUUUUAAGGCUUUGUACUUUAAUUUAGCUUGACGGAUACUUAAGUAUGGAACAAAGUACGUUAAUUUUUCCAAAUUACAACACAUUUCACUUUUGCAUAUAUCGCAUGCAUUCUUUUGGCAGUGUUGAAAUCGAAUUGAGUUGAGUUCUACAAAGAUUGUUGAUCAUCUUCAUUCUUCAAUUCUCCCUUCCAACAUCAAAUUUGAUUCGCCUUCAACGGCUAGGUUUAAUAUAACUAACAGACUAUGAUUGAGUCUAAAUCUACCUCAACUCUUUGGCUUCAUGAUUUUACCAUUCAUCGUCUCCCUACCUUGGUCUAGUUCGGGAGAUUCUGGACCAAAAUUCCUGUGAGGUAAAGCCUUUUGGUCUUGUACCCAUCAAGUGACAGGAAGUCUGGAACUAUUGCAUUUGAUCAAAGGUUCAUUUACUCUUGGCUCAAUCAUCACAAUGUUGAACUUGUACGUGUACGACCGUCUACGGUACAUCAUACAUGAGGAAGGUGUCAGUUUAUUUUGCUACUCUCUACUGCCUACAGGAGAUGACUGUUUAAGGUUAGAAGCUGCUCAUACAUGAACUCUUCUUCCUUGCAUUUUUACUAAAAGCAUUUCUUCGUAUGUUUUCUUCUAUGGACAAGGUUUCCAAGUUGUCUGCUGUCUCUCAAAGGUAGAUGCUUAUGUAGUUCAUGGGACUUAGCAUAUGCACUUCGGGUCUGGUAACUAUUGGCUUAUUUUGUUAGCGAGAUUAUUGCACUUGUAAAUGGACAUCAGGUCUCUGAAAUUGAUUAUUAUAUAACAAUAUGAUGCAGUUACUCUGAACCGGUUGAAACAUUAUAUAAUUACCACACACUUAGUGACUGGGUGGGUGGGGCCCAAAUUCCCAACAGUCUUAGAUUCCUUCCUAAGCUAUUCAUAUCAAGUAUGACCUAAAUGCAGGGUGGAAUUCCGGGUGGUGGAGAACAUGUUACGCCUACUUAAAAGUGAAGUUUCGUUGUUUGUGUAAGAAAAUAUAUUAUGAUCUGCAGAAAUUGUGUCGUUGGAGGAUGCGUGUGUUCAUCGAUUUACUUUAAAAGCUGAAUUACAAUGGGUCAUCUAGACAUAAUAUUAUAGUGGCCUGCAACUUGGAACUUGCAAAACUUGAUAAUUGGUUCUCCAUUAACAUCGUUGCAGAGUUUCCACUCACUUCAUUCUCAAGUGAAAGGUGACCACAUUGGAUUCAAUUACUUAAUUGCAUGAACAGGAACAUGUCUUUCUGUUAUUUGCUCUAAAUAUAUAAAGUGUUGGGCUUUUGGAUAUAAGAGAAGACCACUUCGGUAUUGCAUGAACAGGCUGAUCAAUUGCGGGGAAUUGCUAGAUUUGUAUUGAUAUAAGCAUCCAAGAGUCUGGUAAUUUAUCAGUUGGCAGAUAAGUGGAGUGAUUCUUCACAAAAUAGGCAGAGUCUUCAAGUGCUGCAAUUUUGAAGCAAAUCAUUGAGCAUGUUGAUAUCUAAGCAAGUGACGUGAAUAUAUCAAGAAAAAACCAUCUGCUCAAAGGAUGCCUAUUUAGUAAAGGAAGACUCAAGGUACUACAUUACAUAGACUCCUAAAAAGAAAUAUUUUGGUGUUGGAAGUUUCAUGCAUGAUGAAUUGUUGUAGUAAUAUCCUUUUAGGUAAAAUAAAUGACUCACAUGAACUUGGCCCCUCAAAGGUCAAGCACUUUUUGCAGGCCAUUAGGGGGGGGGG